rnacentral:rRNA from 1 species
AGUCGAGGGGUAUAGUUCUUCGGAAUUAGAGACCGGCGCACGGGUGCGUAACGCGUAUGCAAUCUACCUUUCACAGAGGGAUAGCCCAGAGAAAUUUGGAUUAAUACCUCAUAGUAUAUAGAGUUGGCAUCAACAUUAUAUUAAAGUCACAACGGUGAAAGAUGAGCAUGCGUCCCAUUAGCUAGUUGGUAAGGUAACGGCUUACCAAGGCGACGAUGGGUAGGGGUCCUGAGAGGGAGAUCCCCCACACUGGUACUGAGACACGGACCAGACUCCUACGGGAGGCAGCAGUGAGGAAUAUUGGACAAUGGGCGCAAGCCUGAUCCAGCCAUGCCGCGUGCAGGAUGACGGUCCUAUGGAUUGUAAACUGCUUUUAUACGAGAAGAAACAACUCUACGUGUAGAGUCUUGACGGUAUCGUAAGAAUAAGGAUCGGCUAACUCCGUGCCAGCAGCCGCGGUAAUACGGAGGAUCCAAGCGUUAUCCGGAAUCAUUGGGUUUAAAGGGUCCGUAGGCGGUCAGAUAAGUCAGUGGUGAAAGCCCAUCGCUCAACGGUGGAACGGCCAUUGAUACUGUCUGACUUGAAUUAUUAGGAAGUAACUAGAAUAUGUAGUGUAGCGGUGAAAUGCUUAGAGAUUACAUGGAAUACCAAUUGCGAAGGCAGGUUACUACUAAUGGAUUGACGCUGAUGG